rnacentral:rRNA from 1 species
AUGAACGCUGGCGGCGUGGAUAAGUCAUGCAAGUCAAGGGGCCCCGCAAGGGGAACCGGCAGACGAGGUAGUAAUAAGUAGGUACGAACCCAGAAGUCAGGAAUAGCCCAUCGAAAGGUGGGGUAAUACUUGAUAGUCCCGCAAGGGUAAAGAUUUAUCGCUUCUGGAUCGGCCUGCUCGGUAUCAGCUAGUUGGCGAGGUAAAAGCUCACCAAGGCUAUGACGCCUAGGGGACCUGAGAGGGUGACCCCCACCGAUGGGACUGAGAUACGGCCCAUACACCUACGGGUGGCUGCAGACGAGAAUAUUCGACAAUGGGCGAAAGCCUGAUCGAGCGACGCCGCGUGGUAGAUGAAGUUCUUCGGGAUGUAAAUACCUUUUAUAAGGGAGGAAGUUUAUUGACGUUACCUUAUGAAUAAGAGGUUGCUAAACUCGU